rnacentral:rRNA from 1 species
AGUGAACGCUGGCGGUAGGCCUAACACAUGCAAGUCGAACGGCAGCACGGUAAGAGCUUGCUCUUACGGGUGGCGAGUGGCGGACGGGUGAGGAAUACAUCGGAAUCUACUUUUUCGUGGGGGAUAACGUAGGGAAACUUACGCUAAUACCGCAUACGACCUACGGGUGAAAGCAGGGGAUCUUCGGACCUUGCGCGAUUGAAUGAGCCGAUGUCGGAUUAGCUAGUUGGCGGGGUAAAGGCCCACCAAGGCGACGAUCCGUAGCUGGUCUGAGAGGAUGAUCAGCCACACUGGAACUGAGACACGGUCCAGACUCCUACGGGAGGCAGCAGUGGGGAAUAUUGGACAAUGGGCGAAAGCCUGAUCCAGCCAUACCGCGUGGGUGAAGAAGGCCUUCGGGUUGUAAAGCCCUUUUGUUGGGAAAGAAAAGCAGCAGGUUAAUACCCCGCUGUUCUGACGGUACCCAAAGAAUAAGCACCGGCUAACUUCGUG